rnacentral:rRNA from 1 species
AUUAAACGCUGGCGGCAUGCCUUACACAUGCAAGUCGAACGGCAGCACGGGGGCAACCCUGGUGGCGAGUGGCGAACGGGUGAGUAAAGCAUCGGAACGUGCCCUGGAGUGGGGGAUAACGUAGCGAAAGUUACGCUAAUACCGCAUAUUCUGUGAGCAGGAAAGCAGGGGAUCGCAAGACCUUGCGCUCUGGGAGCGGCCGAUGUCGGAUUAGCUAGUUGGUGGGGUAAAGGCCUACCAAGGCGACGAUCCGUAGCGGGUCUGAGAGGAUGAUCCGCCACACUGGAACUGAGACACGGUCCAGACUCCUACGGGAGGCAGCAGUGGGAAUUUGGACAAUGGGGGCAACCCUGAUCCAGCCAUGCCGCGUGAGUGAAGAA